rnacentral:rRNA from 1 species
CCUACGGGGACUGCAGUGGGGAAUAUUGGACAAUGGGGGCAACCCUGAUCCAGCCAUGCCGCGUGUGUGAAGAAGGCCCUCGGGUUGUAAAGCACUUUCAGUGAGGAAGAACGCCUGGUGGUUAAUACCCAUCAGGAAAGACAUCACUCACAGAAGAAGCACCGGCUAACUCCGUGCCAGCAGCCGCGGUAAUACGGAGGGUGCGAGCGUUAAUCGGAAUUACUGGGCGUAAAGCGCGCGUAGGUGGCUUGAUAAGCCGGUUGUGAAAGCCCCGGGCUCAACCUGGGAACGGCAUCCGGAACUGUCAAGCUAGAGUGCAGGAGAGGAAGGUAGAAUUCCCGGUGUAGCGGUGAAAUGCGUAGAGAUCGGGAGGAAUACCAGUGGCGAAGGCGGCCUUCUGGACUGACACUGACACUGAGGUGCGAAAGCGUGGGUAGCAAACAGGAUUAGAUACCCUGGUAGUC